rnacentral:rRNA from 1 species
UGCAGUCGAACGCAGUAGCAAUACUGAGUGGCAAACGGGUGAGUAUAAUGUGGGAAUCUGCCUUUUGGUUUGGAAUAACACGGGGAAACUUGUGCUAAUACCGAAUAAGCCCUUACGGGGAAAGUUUUAACGCCGAAAGAUGAGCCCGCACUUGAUUAGCUAGUUGGUAAGGUAAAAGCUUACCAAGGCAACGAUCAAUAGCUGUUCUUAGAGGAAGACCAGCCACAUUGGGACUGAGACACGGCCCAGACUCCUACGGGAGGCAGCAGUGGGGAAUCUUGCACAAUGGGGGAAACCCUGAUGCAGCGAUGCCGCGUGAGUGAAGAAGGCCCUUGGGUUGUAAAACUCUUUCGUCGGGGAAGAAAAUGACUGUACCCGAAUAAGAAGGUCCGGCUAACUUCGUGCCAGCAGCCGCGGUAAUACGAAGGGACCUAGCGUAGUUCGGAAUUACUGGGCUUAAAGAGCUCGUAGGUGGUUAAAAAAGUUGAUGGUGAAAUCCCAAGGCUUAACCUUGGAACUGCCAUCAAAACUUUUUAGCUAGAGUGUGAUAGAGGUAAGUGGAAUUUCUAGUGUAGAGGUGAAAUUCGUAGAUAUUAGAAAGAACACCAAAUGCGAAGGCAACUUACUGGGUCACUACUGACACUGAGGAGCGAAAGCAUGGGUAGCGAAGAGGAUUAGAUACCCUCGUAGUCCAUGCCGUACACGAUGUGUGCUAGACGUUGGAAAUAUAUUUUUCAGUGUCGCAGCGAAAGCAUUGAGCACGCCGCCUGGGGAGUACGACCGCAAGGUUAAAACUCAAAUGGAUUGACGGGGACCCGCACAAGCAGUGGAGCAU